ACCAGAUUAGUAAAAAUUUAUUAUAUCGCUUUGAUAUGGCGGAGUUCUUUUUGAUUUGGUA
rnacentral:tRNA from 1 species